rnacentral:misc_RNA from 1 species
GAUGAGGAACGUAGCGAAAUGCGAUAAGUAAUGUGAAUUGCAGAAUUCUGUGAAUCAUCGAAUCUUUGAACGCACAUUGCGCCCCCUGGCAUUCCGGGGGGCAUGCCUGUUCGAGCGUCAUUAACACCACUCAAGCUCAGCUUGGUAUUGGGUCACGCCAGCAAUGGUGAACCUCAAACUCAGUGGCGGCACCGUUGGGUCCCGAGCGUAGUAAAUAUCUCGCUGAGGGUUCCCUCCGGUUGGCGACCAACAACCCAAUUUUCUAAGGUUGACCUCGGAUCAGGUAGGAAUACCCGCUGAACUUAAGCAUAUCAAUAAGCGGAGGA